GCUAUACAUGCAGUCGAGCGGACCGACGGGAGCUUGCUCCCUUAGGUCAGCGGCGGACGGGUGAGUAACACGUGGGUAACCUGCCUGUAAGACUGGGAUAACUCCGGGAAACCGGGGCUAAUACCGGAUGCUUGAUUGAACCGCAUGGUUCAAUCAUAAAAGGUGGCUUUUAGCUACCACUUGCAGAUGGACCCGCGGCGCAUUAGCUAGUUGGUGAGGUAACGGCUCACCAAGGCGACGAUGCGUAGCCGACCUGAGAGGGUGAUCGGCCACACUGGGACUGAGACACGGCCCAGACUCCUACGGGAGGCAGCAGUAGGGAAUCUUCCGCAAUGGACGAAAGUCUGACGGAGCAACGCCGCGUGAGUGAUGAAGGUUUUCGGAUCGUAAAACUCUGUUGUUAGGGAAGAACAAGUACCGUUCGAAUAGGGCGGUACCUUGACGGUACCUAACCAGAAAGCCACGGCUAACUACGUGCCAGCAGCCGCGGUAAUACGUAGGUGGCAAGCGUUGUCCGGAAUUAUUGGGCGUAAAGCGCGCGCAGGCGGUUUCUUAAGUCUGAUGUGAAAGCCCCCGGCUCAACCGGGGAGGGUCAUUGGAAACUGGGGAACUUGAGUGCAGAAGAGGAGAGUGGAAUUCCACGUGUAGCGGUGAAAUGCGUAGAGAUGUGGAGGAACACCAGUGGCGAAGGCGACUCUCUGGUCUGUAACUGACGCUGAGGCGCGAAAGCGUGGGGAGCGAACAGGAUUAGAUACCCUGGUAGUCCACGCCGUAAACGAUGAGUGCUAAGUGUUAGAGGGUUUCCGCCCUUUAGUGCUGCAGCAAACGCAUUAAGCACUCCGCCUGGGGAGUACGGUCGCAAGACUGAAACUCAAAGGAAUUGACGGGGGCCCGCACAAGCGGUGGAACAUGUGGUUUAAUUCGAAGCAACCCGAAAAACCUUACCAGGUCUUGACAUCCUCUGAAAACCCUAAAAAUAGGGCUUCCCCUUCGGGGGCAAAAUGACAGGGGGGGCAUGGUUGCC
rnacentral:rRNA from 1 species